CUUAGCAGAGAUGCUUUGGUGCCUUCGGGAACUCUGAGACAGGUGCUGCAUGGCUGUCGUCAGCUCGUGUUGUGAAAUGUUGGGUUAAGUCCCGCAACGAGCGCAACCCUUUAUCCUUUGUUGCCAGCGAUUCGGUCGGGAACUCAAAGGAGACUGCCAGUGAUAAACUGGAGGAAGGUGGGGAUGACGUCAAGUCAUCAUGGCCCUUACGAGUAGGGCUACACACGUGCUACAAUGGCAUAUACAAAGAGAAGCGACCUCGCGAGAGCAAGCGGACCUCAUAAAGUAUGUCGUAGUCCGGAUUGGAGUCUGCAACUCGACUCCAUGAAGUCGGAAUCGCUAGUAAUCGUGGAUCAGAAUGCCACGGUGAAUACGUUCCCGGGCCUUGUACACACCGCCCGUCACACCAUGGGAGUGGGUUGCAAAAGAAGUAGGUAGCUUAACCUUCGGGAGGGCGCUUACCACUUUGUGAUUCAUGACUGGGGUGAAGUCGUAACAAGGUAAGCGUACUACA
rnacentral:rRNA from 1 species